UACGUAGGGUGCGAGCGUUAAUCGGAAUUACUGGGCGUAAAGUGUGCGCAGGCGGCGUUGCAAGUCGGGUGUGAAAUCCCCGAGCUUAACUUGGGAAUUGCGGUCGAAACUACGAUGCUCGAGUGUGGCAGAGGAAGGUGGAAUUCCACGUGUAGCGGUGAAAUGCGUAGAGAUGUGGAGGAACACCGAUGGCGAAGGCAGCCUUCUGGGCCAACACUGACGCUCAUGCACGAAAGCGUGGGGAGCAAACAGG
rnacentral:rRNA from 1 species